UGAGNUUUGAUCCUGGCUCAGGACGAACGCUGUGGGCGGGCCUAACACAUGCAAGUCGAACGAGGCUUUCCGGUGCUUGCACUGGAAAAUCGAGUGGCGAACGGGUGAGUAAUACAUGAGAAACCUGCCUUGGAGACGGGGACAACCUCGGGGAACUGAGGCUAAUACCCGAUAUCCCUGCCGAGUCGCAUGACUUGGCAAGAAAAUACUCAGGUGCUCCAAGAGGGUCUCAUGCCCUAUCAGCUUGUUGGUGAGGUAAAAGCUCACCAAGGCUUAGACGGGUAGCUGGUCUGAGAGGACGAUCAGCCACACUGGGACUGAGACACGGCCCAGACUCCUACGGGAGGCAGCAGUGGGGAAUCUUGCGCAAUGGGCGAAAGCCUGACGCAGCCACGCCACGUGUGGGACGACGGCCCUCGGGUUGUAAACCACUUUCAGCAGGGACGAAAAUGACGGUACCUGCAGAAGAAGCCCCGGCCAACUACGUGCCAGCAGCCGCGGUAACACGUAGGGGGCGAGCGUUGUCCGGAAUUACUGGGCGUAAAGGGCUCGUAGGCGGUUUGGUAAGUCAGAUGUGAAAACUCCAGGCUCAACUUGGAGACGCCAUCUGAUACUGCCAUGACUAGAGUUUGGUAGAGGAGUGCAGAAUUCCCGGUGUAGCGGUGAAAUGCGCAGAUAUCGGGAGGAAUACCAGUCAGCGAAGGCGGCACUCUGGGCCACAACUGACGCUGAGGAGCGAAAGCGUGGGGAGCGAACAGGAUUAGAUACCCUGGUAG
rnacentral:rRNA from 1 species